AAGCGGCCGGCACCCGUCAACAACUGCCAAAAUCUCGGAUCUCUCGAUUCGCAGAACCCCGUGAAAGAAGUGCAUUCAUUUUGUUAUGCGACGUUGGGCGAGAGGCGUCUCGCCGGGUGCCAACCCCCCGCGCUCCCUUUCCUCUUUUGGCUGGGUGGCCGGGACUGGUCCCGAAUCAAAGCGUACACCCCAUUUUCAACCCCACCGAACUCUGAAUCUGAACUCGAAAGGGAUGCCGGCCCAGCGGGCCGACCGCCCUCAACCUUUUAACGUUGUAAAACUUUCAGCGACGGAUGUCUUGGCUCCCACAACGAUGAAGAACGCAGCGAAAUGCGAUACGUCUUGCGACUUGCAGAAUCCAGUGAAUCAUCAAAACUUUGAACGCAUCUUGCGCUUCCGGGAUAUUCCUGGGAGCAUGCUUGUCGGAGUGUCUGUUGACACCACUCGCCCGCGCCUCUUUUGUUUGUUCUCCAUUCCGCCGGAAGGGAGAGGGAAGAAAAGGGUGGCGAGGCGGACUCUGAGUGUUCCGGAGGCGCAGUCCUCCGAGUGCACCGAAUCUCGUGAGCGAAACCUCUCUUCUGUCUGCGGCCUUCGGUUUGCGCAGAGUUGUUGACGGCGCCCGCGACCCGCUUUUUUUGGCGGGUUUCGGCGACUCUCGGCUCGAUAAACGCGCGGCGAAGCGCCUCUAGGGGAGGGGUUGUUGUUUUCCCGGCGGGCCCGGCCCCAGCGGCCGGCCCUCCGCGUUUUACUACUUUCGU
rnacentral:misc_RNA from 1 species